GGUACCUGGUGGUGGUUGUAGGAGUUCCGCUGCUGCAGGAAAGCGGCGGCGGCGGCGGCCGCCUGGUGUUGGUGCUGGAGCUGCGGGCUCACCGGGGACCUCCGGUUCUGCUGCUGUUGCUGCUGCUGAGGGAGUGAGCUGCUGGAUCUUUGGAUAGGUCUCCAGAGACAUGGCGAUUUGAGUGUCAGAAAAAUUUGCUUCAUACCACAUUCAGGAGACUAGUGAGGAGACCCAAGGAGACAUCUUGAAAUCUCUGAGCAGGGAGGCUUUGACACAGAGUUGGUGUAUUCUGGAUGGCAUCCUGUUGGAAGCCUGCCGUUGCUGGUGCAACAGGAGGAAGCAAGCCUCUGACAAAAGCUACAUUUGCCACUCUGCAGGACUGCACGGACAGCUUCAACGGAGUGUAUGUUUGCACCUAAACAGACCGUUAAAGUCAGGGCUUUAAAUUUCCGGCAAAGAUUCGUCAAAAUUUGUUUCUUAAACUUCUGGAAGUCAGUAGGGGAGCAAGUUCGCUUCUGAGCCAUAGCAUCUGUGUUGUACUAAAAGUAAAGACAACAAUAUGGGAAAAUAUAUUCUCUUGUACUUGACCUUAUUUCCUCUUUGAGUAUAAGAUGGAUGUUCAGUAAUUUUACAAGAACACCCACUGUUUCAAUGAAAUUGUUUUCAAUGGAUUCUGUAAGAAAUUUGCUGCUUUAAUUACUCGGGAAUUAUCUUAGAAAUUAGUGAUACAGAUCCUUCAGAUUCACUGUAGGACUAAAAUUAAUCAAACUGUUUUGUACAGGCUAGAAUUGAAGAUGUACAGAUUGAAAUUGAGAAGACUAUUAACUGUAUCAUUGUGACUAAUUAUAACUGCAUGUUCAGUAACAGAAGUGAGGUUACCAGCUCCAAGAGUGGCCAUUGAAAUAUCCAGCAUCCAUGGCACUGACAUUGAGACUGGCCGGGCCAUGAGGCCGUGCAUCUGGGAGGAAGAAGAGGAAGGCCUGGAUGCACUGAGGAAGAGAGUUGAACUCAGCUCUGCUGUGCAGCAGACGAAUAUUCACCCUGGGAUUUUUUCUUUUUCUUUUCUUUUUUAAAUCUAUUUAUUUAUUUAAAAGCAAGUAAGUUCAAUUUCUGAACAGUGCAUGGAAACUGUUAGGGAAGCUUUCUUUUUUUUUCCUACCCAUCUUCAUCCUCCUUUUAAACAUGCCUAACUUUGGUCAGGUCUCAGAAACAAGAGCUUUCAAGUUCUUCAUGCACUUUACAUCUCUGAUCUAAUGAUCAGUUGUAAAUCAAUUUGAGCUUUGUCAUUUCUUACCAUUCAUGAUGUCAUGAUGAUAACAAAAUAAUGGAAAACCAGUAUGUCUCUUUCACCAUAUAUAUUUGGAUUACUAAAAACAUACUCUUGUGGUUCUUUCUUAGGGUUCAUUUAUAACAUUUUUAAUAAUUAAAAAAAUAAAGAAAGGAAAGCAAAGAAAAUCUCCUGCCAAGAAAUAUGUAAAAAGCUGAAUGUCUUUGAAUAUUUAUGCUAAAGUAUUUUAGAAAUGCACUAAAUUUACAAAAGAAUCAUUGAAACUGGGAAAUGUAGUGAAAAUAUUGCACUUUAAUAAAAUGAAAUAUAUUAAAAAAGCAAAUAUAUCAAGUCAUCCAGGAAACCAUAAUUUUCUGCUAUAAUGAGAACCUGAGGGAGAUGUGAAGUUAAAUUUAGUUUAUUUCUGUACACUCUACAUUUUUAACUGUUUCUGCAUAGUUUUACUAAGAAUUAGGGUUGUAUGACUUAAUCAUUAACUCUUCUAUCUAUGUAUGUUUAGAUUUUUUUGCAGGCUUAAUCCAACUCUGGGACUGGAAGUCACAUCUUCUAACUGUAUAGCUACAAGAUGAAGGAACUAGGAAAAAAGCAGGGGAAAAGCAGACCUAUUAUGUUCAUCUCUUAUACAGAGAACACAAAACCUACUGUAAUUAUGUCAUUUCCUCUCUCAUUAUGGUAUUGAGAGACCAGAUCCAUUUUUAUGUGGUGGCACAAAACAGUUUGCUAUUUAAGUAUAGGAGCUACAGGAGCUACUUUGCAGAACUGAUAUUCACAUAUGCCACAAAUCAAUUGUUCCCAUGACAUUAAAAGGGAAAAUUACCUUGAUCUUUAAAAAUUCCCAAACUUUGGUAAAUCUCCUUGAGUAAUUGUGAUAUAAUUUUGGGUCAAUGUGCUUUGACCAAAGCUCAGUCAAAAUGAGUAAUCCAGGGAACGUUUGUUUUCCUAUUGGUAAUUCUUUUUUUUGUGCGUACUUACAUAGUAUGUUGUAACUGAGGAGAAAAAAAAAGCUCAUAAAAUGUAUACAUUAGGAAAUCAAAGGGCUUUUCUCUCUUCUUUUUCUUUCUUUCUUUUUUUUUUUUUCUUCUUCCAAAUAGCCUCUCUUUUCAACUUUGAAAGAUCUUCUUUAUAUGAGGAAAUUUACUAGAGACUACAGUAGUAUAAUUAUGCCUUGUGGACACUUUUUAAUCUCAUAUGAAUGCCUGUAGAAUACAAGUGUCCACAUUGGGAGUUAUACCAUCACAACUAGAGUGGUGUAAUUAUUCUAGUGAAUUCUAUAUGAAGACAAACGCUUUAUGAAAGGGAAUUUCAUUUUGGCUCUUUUCAGCUUUUUCAGGAUCCAAAGCUAAAGGAGUUGAUCAAAUCAAUGAAAGUAAUGAAAAUUCAAUGUUUAUCAAGUAGACUGUCAAGUGCUGAGGAAAUAAGAAAGUAAUAAAUAUAUAUGUUUAUGGAUUAAUAUUCAUGUGCAUUUUCAUCCUUAUUCUCUCAACAGUGGUCGAGUUUGGGAGGAGUUUAAUGAAAAUUAAUAAAUAGUCUGGGUUUUUUUGCUCAGCCUCAUAAACUAAUAUAGCCAAUAUCCAAAUGCUGGCAGAGCAUUAUGGAUUCUUAGCUCUCAGAAAUAACAACCAGAGUUUCAGGCAAGUAUGACACUGGAGAAUUUUCUGAAUGCUUCAUAGUGUCUGCAGAUCCUUUGCAGCUUGUACAGCCCAGAUCAGGCAUUGAAUGUCUCUAUUUCCUAUAUCUCAAUUAAAUUUUAAUUAUUUAACUAUGCAUGUCCUAGGACAGUAGUCAAAAUGUUUUAUACGAAACUUACCCGUUUUCAAGAAAAUAAUUUCAGAAUGUCAGUAGGGGUGUGGAAAAACAUAAGUGUUAUUUACACAAUGUGCUUAGACUGAAUUAUGAGCAUGUCUCAAUGUAAUUUUUUCAUAGACUUUAAGGCAAGCAGAGCCCAGUCGUUUUGGUGACCUAAUCCGGUCCAACCUUUAUAUUGAUUACAGAGCGCUACCCUGACAGUCUUGCUUGAAGACCAUUAUUUCAAGGCGAACUUCGUGAAAAAGAUACCUGCUUCAUAUUUAGAGAGUUCAGACAACAAAGAGUCCACCACACCUACCCCAACACUCACUGCUCAGACGAAAUGCUUUAUUUGUGGUCUGAAUUUGGCUUUGACUUCCCUUGUUGAAUCUUUGCUGGAUUAAAAAAGCCUUUAGCACUGGCCAUCAUUCAAUGAAAAUACUUAAGGGCUGAGAUCAAGGCAUCUCAGCCCUCUUUUGUUAAGCAAAUCUCAUUGAGCUACUUUCGUUUCUAACCGUAAGGCAAGACUUCUGUAUCAUCAGUUUUUCCUGUAGUUUCUUUCAAGUUGCGAGUUUAGAAACUUUUUUUUUUUUGAAGUAAGGACUGCAGGAUUGUAUGUGGCUGCAGUGGCUAUUAGUAAUGAGAGAGGUGCAGCAUGUGCUGAACAAAAGCGUGUUCUUCCCUUUCUGUUUUUGAAGCAUGGAUGAAGAAAUGAGGGCAAAUACCAAAAUUUUCAUUUUUCAUAUGUCUUGUCAAAAACCUUUUAUAAUGAACAGUGCCACACAAGGUCUUCCACUGGAUAUUAUGCUUUCCCAAAGCAGGAUUCUUAGGGGAACCCACCAGCGUGGUAUCUUGCUGCGAUAACCAGAAUGCUUGGUUUGCCCUGGCUAGCAUUACAUACGAUGGAGGACUUUUUUCCUGCUUCAUAUUUAGUUUAUCUGCUCAAACUUCUUUGAGGGUUGAAAAUACAGUCUCCAAUUUUAUAUGUUGUUUAUUUUUGUUCCAACAUGUAUAACCAAUAUUUUCAUUGAUAAAGUCUGCAUUUGUCACAUAGGCAUGAAUUAAAGUGGUGUGAGUUACAAGGGUAGCUUGGCUUUGCUAUUUUCUGUUUUUUUCCGAUUUGCCUACAGUACCAAAUUUUUGUUUUCAAAACAUCCCAAUAUUUUUUCCCAAGACAGUGGUACAAGUAGUCUGAAAAUUAUUUCCAAUGAGUUCUGUCUUGAAGCAAUGCAAAUGGAAGGCGAGACUGGUUUUCACUAUGAGUAGAACUCUGUCAGUUAUCUAUUUUGUAAUUAGAGUACAGAGAUUUUUACAUAGUGCUGACAUUGUAAUCACUGUCAUGCAAUGGUUAGGUGAGUGUUUUAAAAGCAUCUAAGUAUAUGCUUUUGCAGUUGUACCCUGUUGCUCUGAAGCUGCUUCAGGCCUGCUGUGCAAGCAAAAUGAAACAAAAUAUUUAAAUUUUCUUUUGCGUAGUAAUAGUUUCCAGUCCUCAGCUGUCCUCUGGUGAGCAAGCUGCAUGCUAGUAAUGCUUCAGCUAGAUGAUAUGAAGGAUUUUUUAUGUCCUGAAAAUAAUGGGAUCAAGUUUACAGUGGUUGUGUGGGUCUGUGUGAGGGACAGCGGUGCUCCAAGCACACAUAGAAAAGGGAACAAGGAAGUCCAUCAGCCUGAGGACCGCUUGCAACAUGCCCCUGAGAAAAAUGAGAAGUGCUUGAAAUUGUGAGUAAAGAAACUGUUUCCUGCUGUUUGCUUCCUACUGCGUUCUAGGAAGCAGUACAUUGUGUACAGGCUUUGUAAAUAAAUAGGAUUGUGUUGGAGAAAUGCCUGACUCUGUCACCUAUUUGAGGCAUAGCCUACACAAUAUAAAAAAUCAACUAAUUAUCUCUAAUUGCGUUUAUCUACAACAUUUAUAACAAUGUCUUAGAGUGUACUUAGUGGAGGUGAAUUGACAGAUGACACAUUGCUGAAACUGAACUAAAACUACAUGACACGUCGGCUUUACAGUUUGGAGCCAUAGUUACAAAUUGUAUAUUUCAAGUAGCAUCAAGUACUUCUGUUUACUGUGUGUUCUCUAGACAGAACAAAAACUUGAUAGUAAUGGGAUUGUAGAAAAGCCUACACUGGAAGAAUGCUCUGGAGGCCAUCUGCUCCAAGGACCUAGGUGGGCCCAGAUGCUCAGGGGUCUGCAGGGAGGGAGGUUCCCCCAGUGCUCUGGGCGGCCUGUUCCAAAGUUCAGUUGCUCUCACGGUGAAGAGUUUUGUCUUAUACCUGGAUGGGUUUUCUCCUGAAGCGCCGUCUGCCUAUUGCCUCUUGUUCUGUCAACUGACCAUCCUUGUGAAGAGAACCUCCAUUUUCUCUGUUACAACCUUUUUAGUGGUGGAAGACGGUCUUCCCCCUUCAGCUGUCUCUCUUUACGCUGAACAAACACAAUUCUUUCACUCUUUCUUCAUCUGUCAAGUCCUGCAGUCCUCUAAUCAUGUCAGUGGCCCUCUACUAGACCCUCUCCAGUUUUUUUUUAAGUCUCUUUUGAGCUAGAUGGACCAAGACUGGACACAGUAUUCCGUCUGUGCCCUAAUAACCCCGAAAAUACAAUUUCAUUUUUGACUACUUAUAAUGAAACCAAAGCACAGAAGCUCGCAAAACUUCAGGAAGUAAAGGGAGGUUCUCUCCUUAUUUUACCCUAAAGCCCGAUGACUUCAGCAUUCACCCUCAGUAUGGGAGACCUGGGUUCAGUUCUUGCCUUCUUUUGAAGAGUUAGACCCAUGAUGCUUGCAACUCUGAGUGGUGCCCUCGGGAGGAGGCUGUAACAAGCUGUGACAUAUUCCAGGGUUCCUUCAGGCUCUCCUGAUGCCACGAAUCCAAGUGCCGGAAUGAGAAAGAAAACAAUACAAGAACAAACAACACCAUUAGCACUGGCAGUUUCCUGGAACAAUAAAAAAUGUGCAGUUGACUUCUCUACAUUACAUUGCACUUGCAGAUAUCAAUGUAUGAAAAACAAGGAUCAUUUUAAUUGAAGUAGCGUGUUGAAGGAAAUAAUAUGCCCACAGUAUUUUUUUAAAGAUAAUCUUAAAAAAGAAUUCAAAAUUAAAAGUGAAGCUUAUUAAUUUGGUAUUUCUAGUCUAUCACAAAAAUGGCCGGAAUUUCCCUCCAUUUUACUAACAAAAAGCCAAAUGUGUGGCUCACACGUGUGUGCUACAGGCGUGCAGGUGCCAAGUUCUGUCAGAAUGGAGAGCAUUGCUUUAUAGCACUUGUCCUCAAAGAUGCAUUGCUAUCAGUAAACUCACAAUGAGGAUUUAUUCUGAACAUCAUUAGAAAAAAAGAACACCUUAAAUUUUCUGAACCUUAGAAAAAUCUAAAAGACAUUCUUAGCUGGAAAUUUCUGUGUGAAGCAUGAGAUAAAUCAGUAUUGGGCUGCUUUCAGAUGCACAGAGCAGUGUCAGUGACUGAUCACCAGAGCUCAUGGGUACUGCAGUACCUUUUGUUUUUUUGGAAACAGAUUUUGGCAGCAGGCAGUAAUAUGUGCAACAUAAAAUCGACCAGUUCUUCGGAACAACUUGUUUCCAUAUCUGAGUGCUAAAAGGGGAAAUCUUAAUGGAAACUGGGACUCUCAAGAAAAUCCUGCUGGGUAUUCUAAAGGCUAUGCUUUAAUGAGCACACAAGUAAGUUACCUUGGAGAGGAAAGCUAGCCUAGUAAAGAAGGCACAAAGGUGAUAAUUAAACAAGAAAUCAAUAUGUUAAAUAUGGAAAAGGGGGGCAUAACUUGGAAUGAAAAUUGAAUGUACAAAAUGUAGAAGACUUUGGUGAAGAUAAAGGUAAUAAGGAGUUAUUAGUGGGCAGUAGAGUUUCAGACAAUAAGGCGGCAUUACAAAUGUAUUAGGAACAAAAGAACAACUAAAUCAGAUAUAGAUUUCAGUCUUACAGAAAGAGACAGAACAGAUCCAAUGGCUGAAAAUCAAAGCUUGAAAAAUUCAAUUGCCGUAAAGAUGCAGUGAGAGUGAUUACAUGUAGGAAUAAUUUCCCAUUAUAGGUAGGUGGUAAGCUUGCCAUUGCUAGGAAUUUAAUCCAAUUGGAUAUACUUUAAUCUGACUCUGGGAACAGGCUUGUGAGUAUAGGGUAUCUGUGAGGAUGGCUGUAGAGGUCAUUUCUACUGUGCAAUCUGUACAUCGGCGAUUUAUAUUUGUUCUUUGUCACUCUGUUCUUUCAUAAGCUGUGGAGGAGAGCAGAAAGCUCUCACUGCCCUCAACGUGCUCCACACGCUUGGCUCUGCAUUAAGACAAUGACUGAAAAAAAAAAUAUGUUUCAGGGCUACGGUGGCUGCCGGCAAAAGGCGAGAGGCUGAUUGCUAAGGUUAAUUCUGGAUGUUUUAAUUUCACGUUGCUCUGAAGCAUUAGGGAUGAGUGUAGCUGAUUGUGAAACUUUGGCAAGUUGGUGAAGAGGGGCCCUCUCUUUUGGAUAGCUGCUACCACAAAGUCAGAGCAGCAAAGAUUAUGAGGUCUUUUUCUUUCAACUUCAUCAGGCGUACAUGAGAUUGUAAUUAUGAUCAUUUGGGCAUAUCUCAUACAAUCAACCCACUAGUGUUGCUGGAGCCUGAGGCAGAGGCAUCUCAGUCUUUUUUGGUGUUCAUAUUAGCUUAAUUUUUUCAAGACUGAGGGUUUUAUUUUUCAGUAUAACUCAAUUCACCAGAGAAUACAGUGGUAAGUGGGCAAAGCACUGCAUACAAGAUAGCAAGUUGCCUGUUCUGCUUUAAAUUCAACUGAUUUAUAAAGAUCCUGUCAGAUUCAUUUUGUCACAAUACGGGUUAUAGGUGACAAACACCAUUCCUUUUUUCCCAAUACUGGCUGAUUUCAGCCGUGAUGCUCGAUGGAGUUGCAGGGCUGCCACGCAUGCUGCUCAAGUGCCUGUUUGCUAUGAUGUGGAACAGCUCACAAAGGGCUUGUUGUGCUUGCAGCAGCGUUGCCUCAAGUUCAGAUUUUUUUUUCCUGCAGUGCUCUCUGCCUUUUGUUUAAAAAAUCGUGCCUUUCAAAAGCAAAAAUAAGAAACCUUACAGUUCUUACACCUUGCUGGAGAGGGAGGAUGCAAUAGUUUUUCUUAUCAGUUUGGUUCUGUUGUGUUCCCAUAAGGGAAGGUGAGGCUGUCAGCAGACACUUAUUAUCAUCCAACUAGACUGUGAAAAGAGACGUGCAGUUUCAUCAACAUCAUGCUUUUUUCUCAAGCGUUUGAAGCAGAGGCAGCCUCUUCUUACAUGAACCAACAUGUAUUCUUUUGUCAUUUAUAGGUCCGAUGGAGGGAUGCAUUUUCUAUUGCUAUUUGUUGUAUGUAAGUGGAAUUGGCACCUGCAUAUGUGAAUAUACGUAUUGGCUUAUCAUGGAAGUCACCUUACUAUCAUCUAUUGUACAGUUUAUCACGUCAUUGCUCUGCAUCAUAUACAACAUUGGCUUACAAAUAUAUAUUCAUGGUUAACUAUGUAUCAUUGGGUUACAAUAUACCCACCAUCGAGCAGAUCACUGAAUACCUGCCUACAGCUCUAUGUAUUUGUGCAGGUAUUUGUACACGAGCUGCGAGCACAGGUAAAUCUGCAUGGAAACUUAGAGGUGGGUGAAUCGAGAGAGAUGAUGGGAAAAACCCAGCAGUUCCAGAUCAUUCAUUGGAUGGUGGAGCUAAUGAAGACUGGUUUUUGUUCCGUGAGCUGUGAUACACCCACAUUCUUCACACUGAAAAGCACUCACAGUAAGAUUCCUCUCGUUAGUUUCUCCACCAUAGUGCUACUCAUAGUUUUUACCAAGGCUAUACACUGCUAUUUCUUGGCCUAAUGACCAGGGAUGACCCAGCAAACCCUGUUCUGGAGAUUCAGGCAUGCAAGACUGCCAACUGGUACAUGUCCAGCAUGGUCAGCACCUGCUACCAGCUGAACCCAUCUUACUGCCCUUCUCCUCUGCUAGCAACAAAAAUUAAUUACUCUGGGAGCUACAUUCCGUGAUGUGCUAAAUGUUGUACAGGUCUGUUGUAAGAUCUUACUAUUUUAAAAAUGUCUACUCAAUUCAAUUUAGUUGAAGCUGAACAGACAUGACAGAGAGACAGUACCAUGCAUGCAAGCUUCAUUUCCUCAGGAAGCCAUGCUAAAAAAAAUCAACGUAGGAAUACUUUCUGUAACUGUCUAGAAGCUUGCUGUUAAUUAUCAAAAUGAAGAAGCAGAGUGAGCUAACAGUGUGCUGAUUUAAACAAUCAGAAUCUGUAUUUCAACAAAUAGACCUGCUGAAAAGGAAAAGGAAAGUAAAUGAGAUUUGGGUGCGGUGUAACAUGUUUAGCGUCUGUAUCUGGCCUUGUAGUAAUGGUCUCCAACCCUAAAAAUCACCCUCCUCUACCCAAAAUCUACAAAGUAUACAAAAGUUAAAAGGAGCAUUUUAUUCCUAAGGCAUCAGAAAACCUCUCAACCUCUAGAUGAAGGCUGUUUGUUCAGACUAGGUCAGCCCGCAGCAGAGUUACGUUCCUCAGUGCCAGUGUUCCUGGGACUCUGUCAGCCCAGCACCCCUGAAGGAUUGCUGCUCCACCAGUUUUCCUGCCAAAUGUGCCUCCUGUCCCUUCCUGCCCCACAACAUACCUAUCUACACAUGCUUUGCAGAGUCAUUGUGGAUUCAAUAAUACAAGAAGAUGAAAAAGGAAAAUGCACAUUUCUUCCAUGACUGUUCCUAUGGCUGUGUAGUCACUAUUUUAAAGACUCUCAUGUUUCUGAAAAUGGAGUUUUGGUCUAUUUUGAGAACCAGCCUUCUGACAUUUGUUUGCUCGCUAUGUUGUGAGGCCAGCCAGGAAGUGCAGUUUUUACAAAUCGCCUCUUGUAUUUGGGUUAAUCCAGGCCUUCCUGCACUUUACUUGGUUGUUGUAAAUGCAUCUUAUAAUUUAUACAGAAUGCAGUUCAUUUGUGCUGUGACUAGAAACAUUAAAAGAAAGCAUUCAGUCAUCGCUUUUGCAUCUGGUGAUGCGAACUGGGAUUUUCAGAAGAACCCAGAAGAAUUAGACAUUCAAAUUUCAUUAAAAUGCUGUGGAAGUGAAGCAUAUAAACUCUAUUAAAAAGCUCAGUCAUUACCUAUAACUCUUUUUUCUUUCUCCAUUUUAAUUUCUGGAUAAGUUUGCUUAGGAGAGAGUUGUGGACGAGGCUGGUUUUGCACACUCUGUGUUCUCAUUAGGGCUAAGGCACAGUCCCAUUUUAGGUGCCUAGACCCAUUUUUAAAUGCAGCUUCAUGCGCUCAUCUAUUUACUGCUUUUGUAAUUAAAAUAUUAUUUUCAUAGCCAUAGCAACUGCUGUAAGCAACAGAUCAAUAAAACUGUUCAUACCAAUAUUUUGGUGAAUAAGAUUUUGAAAAUAUGUGAUAUCUAACAUGUGAAUGAUUUGUACCUUUUCAUCUUAUGAAGAGCUUGUGUAUACACAGCUGAAUAAAAGUCACUUCUGAAAAUAAAGUACUUGAGAAUGUAAAAGAAUUGAAUAUAUUACAUUUAAAUUCAAGGAAACAUGACUAAAAAUUACAUCAAAUAUAUUUUCAGAUGUCUAACCACUCAAAAGUGUGGUCUAUAUGGACUACUGGAUGAAGGGUGAGUAGGGAGUAGAGUUUGUUCUGCAGUCAAAAAGGACGGAUGCAGCACUACAGCAUGUGCUUACUGCAGGAAGGAGUUAAUAUUUUUGCCAGCAAUGUUCAGCCCCUACUUCUUACAAAAAAGAAUUAAUGGCUUUUCUGCCUGGUGAUGAAAAUAGAAGCCAAAUUUAAGUUGUUUCUUGAAGGCAGAUGUAAUUAGAUCAUGAAACUUCUGGCUUCUGAGUCUAAAUAAUAGCUUAAGAAUGCCCACACUACAUUAGAGCAGGAUACUGUCUCCUAACUGUUUCUUAGGGGUGACGACAGGAGCAAUGCAAGCGUGAAGUGACACUUCCCCCAAUUUCCAGCUGUGUACAAUGCAUAUAGUCCUUGAACUGCAGAUUUAAGAGCAUUAUAUAUUUAACAGCCCUUUCUGAAUCCUUCCUCUAUAGAUUUUUCUAAUUAUUUAUUAAACGCACUUACAUUUUUGUCAGCCACAACAUUCUUACAGCAAUAAACUAUGCAGUGUAGCUAUGAAUUGUGUGAAAAAUAUUUCUGUUUGAUUUAAGCUGCACUAUUUGCUGCCUACUAGGUCUUACGUAUGAGAAAUAGGAAACAAUUGUUCCUUACUAUCUCCAGGCUGUUCUCAAUUUUAUAUACAGCUAUUAUGUUUCCUCUUAGUUAUUUCUCUUUUUUUCUGUUUUGUUUUGUUUUUAAAUAGGAGAGCACUUUAUUGAACCUCACACUGUUAUGGGGUUCUACUGCUAUUCAUCUUUCUUCUCCUGCAUACUUCUAAUAAACCUUUGGGUCAGUCAGAACUACGCGCGGUGUUUUGGACGUGGGUGCAGUCUGGGUUUAUGCGGUGGUGCAAUAGUUUAUCUUUUGCCUUUUCUUUCUCCUAUAAUGGUUGUAACAUUUUGUUUGCAUUUUUUGUCUGCUGGAGAGCACUGGACAGAUGUUUGCAAAAGGUCUCAACAAGGAGUCCAAGAUUCUUCCUGGAGUGAUUAUUUAUAAUUUAUCACUGUGUAUGUGCAAUUAGGGUGUUUCUUCCCCCCAUGUGUAUUACUGUGCGUCUAUCGAUAAUAAAUGAUGCGUGGUUUUAUGUUGCUGAAUCACUCGGCAUUCAGUAUGACAAUGCCUUUUGAAGUAUUGACUGUGGUAAGUGAUUUGUAUCAUCAGCGAACUUAGCCGUCUCAUUAUUAAUCCCCUUUUCCAGAUCAUUUGUGAAUAUACUGAAGAGAACAAGUUCAAGUGCCGAUCCCUGAUCACUUCUCUCCCACGGUGAAAACAAUUUAUUACUAUGCUUCAACAAAUCAUUAAUCUACUGAAGAAUUUUCAUCCUUAUGAAAACUCAGUUUCUUUAAGAGCCUUUAGAGAGAGAUCUUGUCAAAACACUUUGACUUCUGGAAAUCCAAGAACAUUACAGCAGUCCGCAUCCACCAACAUGCUGACUUCUUUAGAAUUAUAACAUCAUCAAUUUCAUCAACACGCAGUAGAUUGUAAACCCUACAGUUAGUCAAGUUUCUUCUUCUGCGGAUAUGACGUUAUUUGUGUACUAAAAAUAGUGGCAUGCACUUUCAUUUCUUGUACAAAGGCUUCUAGCAGUUAGUGACACUUUCUAAGUGAAGUUAUUGCUACGCUGCCAGAAACUCCAGAGCGAGGUACAGAUUUCCAUUGACCCCGAAUGCAGCAUGGUUUCUUUGUGAUAGAAGUCUUCUAUUUAUUUUCCAUAAAUGACACAUCCCUGAAGCAAAAGCGAGGGAAUGAAAGUUACAUUUUAUCACUGUAACAUUUGCAGAAAAGUGAACUGCUAAACUCCCUAUUCAUAAUGAAACUUUGACUAGCCACGAGUUCUUAAAAAGCUUACCUGCAGGUGCCUAGUUUUUUUUUUUUCCUUUAAAAAUUUAUAUCUGAGCCUUAUGAACUUCUGAUUAAACUUUUAAAAUAAAUUAAGGGCUAGAGGAUUAGACAGGGAAUUGGAAAUGAACUGUGGUAUCUUUUGCCUCUAGCUCAGCAUUUUGAAGGCAGCCCAAAUGAGAUGUGACAAAGUGCAGUGCUCUCGUUUCUUUUUGCUGACCUACGUGUAAGUGGAGUUUGGUCUCUGCCAAGUUCUUUGUGUGAACAGCCACGUCACCGUCACUGCUAGUAUAAUUAGCAGUAAUUAGCCCUUUGUUGGAAUAUAAAAUAAAUAGGCCAUGAUUUGGAUAUCACAGCAACUAAAUUAUCCACUUAGAUGAUCCCCUCUGUGGGUGAACCACCUGCUGAUCCCAGCCCUCCCUUUUCCACAAAGUGACAGAAGUUAUGAAGAUCUGAUUUAAAUGGCUGAUAUCUCCAGCUUGUGUUUUGCAGAAUGCUGUGUCCUGUUUGAAAUAUAAACUGUAAAAUCCUUCAGGACAGUCCCUGAGUGAGCCUAAUAAAGCCAUGUUUUAAUCUGUUAAGGGCUGUAGUUUCUAUUGGGCAUUUCCUUCCUGCCCUUGAUGGAGGUGUGAAGAGUUUCAGAGGAAGCACUCACCUGCAGCUGUUCAGAGCUUGCUACUGCCUCAGCCCCUAUCUGAACUUCCUAUUGCUCUUUCUCAGGAGAAAUUAUUUCAUUAAUCUGGGUCAGCCCUUUCUGAGCAUGUCUUUGUUUCUUACCUUGUUUCUGCUGCUCACACUGUCCAGCUGCCAGACUAUUUUCAGACCCAUAGGUCUAACUCCCUGGGCAUUUUUCCUGGGCUUUGUACACCAGUGGCUGUCCUAGGAGGGGAAAGAAAAGUGUACUUUUCCAGGGGAACACUGAAUGCAGCUUUUUUUCUGCACAUGUGCCGUCUAUGAACUCUUUGGUGAUCACCUGAUCCCUUUCUCUUUGCUUGACUCUGAAAGCCCAUCUUAUUCUUCUGUUCUCCUCAAAGCACCUGUGGGAAUUUCUGUAGCUUGGUUGCCUCUAUCUGAAGUUUUCCUUUGCUCCUUUGAGAAAAGAGAAAGUCGUAGCAGCUGAAAGUGUGCCAGUUCCCCAACCAUGCUGGUUGCCAGUCAUUGGCUGGGUCAGCAGAGACUGCGGUGGGAAAGCCUGGUCUUGCUGCAGGUCGGAGCAGGGCACACAAGACUUCUGAUCAGAAUGUGGUGGCAUGGGAAUCCGUCAGUGCUCUUCUGGGGUGGUGGUCAUUGUCCUAACAGCCUCUGCAUUAUGAUAACAGGAAAAACAUUAAUGUCUGUUUUACUGGCGUAUUUCGGAAUGAAUAACUCUUGGCACUAGAGUCAAUUGCAUGCAACAGACAACUGUGCUGCUUUAAAAGUCCUAUGCAUUAUGCCAGAAGUGUAAGGGUCUCCCAUCUUCAAACACAGACACAUGGCUUCAGACAACAAAAACACUAGGUGUUGUUCUGGAAGUAAAGAGAAGCAGUGUGAAUCUGCUUUUCCCAUAUUUUCAGCCAAUCACUGGCUGUUUUAAAUCUUUAAUCUAAGUAAAUACUUGGACUUAGUUUCUGAAAAGCAAAAACCUGCCAGCUAUUUCAAUGAAGGCAACAACUUAAGCCGUCAAUAUGUCAUUCCUGAAACAAGUACAAUUUCAGCAAUCAAGUAGGAGAUAUUUCUUGUUUCCCACGCUAGGUCAGCACUUUCUUGUAGAGAUAGUUUGUAUCAUAAUGAUGUGCUCUGUGGAGGCGACUCAUUUGUGCAUUCUGGAGUUCAGACAAAGUCUCUGUGUUACCUCUCUUUCCUCUGCUACCUUCCACGUGUUUUUCCUGGAUUCAUAACAGAAUGAUUCAUUCUGCUACUUAAGACUAAAAUGGCUUCUCAUUUUCACUUUCUUUAUACAUAAAGAGGCUGAUAAAUGUAUUGGGUUAUGGCUGAAGAAGCUAGAAUACACGCUACGUGAAAACCAUCAUAGAUUGUUCCAAAAUGACCUUGAUUAAUUAACAAAUAGAUUUUGCUUUGUGCCGGUCCAACUAUUUUGACAGCUACUUGUGGUAUAGUGCAGAAGUGGGGUUAUAAUUACACAGGGCUGGAGAUGUCUAAUAGUUAAGUAGUCCCACCCAGUUCUGUAUAUGCCAGCAUGACUAUGUGAACGCAAUACACAAAGCCAGAUGUACCAUUUUAACUACACAAGGAUAUAUACAACUGUUUAAAAUGGGCAGUGUAACAUUUAUGUACAUAGGUCGCACUGAAAAUAAUGUCUCCUAUUUAUUUCCACGGAAGCAAGAACAGAUUCCAAGAGCACAAUAACACUAUUUGACAGAGCAAGCCCUCAGCUACAAAACACUGUUUUUCAGCAUAGCUGCCACCACUAGCUGUGCAUUUUCACCAGGGAUGAACAAGAGCCUGUGUGCCAUGGUCGUAAAAGUUUGUACCAGCAGAGAUGGCCCACUGUUUCACAGCUGCUAUGAUGGCGUUGUUGCUGGGAAAAAGUUGCCCACACAGUCCAUUUUUCACUGGCCCGAACAGAUGGAAGUCAGAAGGUGCCAAACCUGGAUAGUAGGGGGCAUGUGGUAGGACAGUCCAGCCAAGAUACAAUACUGUACAGUACAGUACAGUAAGACCUUUGGUGACUGCAUUUUCAGAGGUGGCCUAGAAUCCACAGUUUCAACUGGAAAUAUUUUCAGGUGUGCUUUUCCCAUUAUCCUUUUUCCUAUUUCAUGAAUGUGCUUGUUUCAAGAAAAUGACAUGGGUUUUUUUGGCUUCAGACAAUCUUACCUUCAUAAUUAAUCUUUUUAACUUUUCACCAGCUGUCACAGGUUUGCUGACCAGGAAAGGAAGUCAUUCUAGAAGGCCAAAACGCAACAUUAUGAAA